CCCGCUGAACUUAAGCAUAUCAAUAAGCGUAGGAGAAGAUACUAUCAAGGAUUCCCUUAGUAACGGCGAGUGUAGCGGGAAGAGCUCAAAUUUAAAAUCUGGCAGUCUUUGGUUGCCCGAAUUGUAAUCUAGAGAAGCGUUUUCCGUGCUGGACUGUGUACAAGUUUCCUGGAUACGGAACAUCAUAGAGGGUGAGAAUCCCGUCCUUGACACAGACCCCCAGUACUUUUGUGAUGCGCUCUCGACGAGUCGAGUUGUUUGGGAUUGCAGCUCAAAAUGGGAGGUAAAUUCCUUCUAAAGCUAAAUAUUGGCGAGAGACCGAUAGCGAACAAGUACCGUGAGGGAAAGAUGAAAAGCACUUUGGAAAGAGAGUUAAACAGUACGUGAAAUUGUUAAAAGGGAAACGCUUGAAGUCAGUCACGUUUGCUUGGACUCAGCCUUCCUUCGGUUUGGUGCAUUACCUUGCAGACGGGCCAGCGUCCAUGUUGUUUGCCGGAGAAGGGGUGAGAGAAUGUGGCUCCUUUGGGAGUGUUAUAGGUCUUGAUAGUAUGCGGGGAAUGAUAUGGAGUGGUACAGCACACUUAGGUGGUGCUUGUGCUGGCACAAAAGCUUUAAACAACCCGUCUUUUAACACGGAAGGGGGAAAUUGUUUUAAACCGCAGGACACUUUUCCCUUAGGGGGGGGGGACAUAGGCGGGG
rnacentral:rRNA from 1 species